CAGUAGCCGCGGGAAUACGUAGGUGGCAAGCGUUGUCCGGAAUUAUUGGGCGUAAAGGGCUCGCAGGCGGUUUCUUAAGUCUGAUGUGAAAGCCCCCGGCUCAACCGGGGAGGGUCAUUGGAAACUGGGAAACUUGAGUGCAGAAGAGGAGAGUGGAAUUCCACGUGUAGCGGUGAAAUGCGUAGAGAUGUGGAGGAACACCAGUGGCGAAGGCGGCUCUCUGGUCUGUAACUGACGCUGAGGAGCGAAAGCGUGGGGAGCGAACAGGAUUAGAUACCCCAGUAGUCCCUGUCUCUUAUAC
rnacentral:rRNA from 1 species